CCAUAUAUUCUUUUUCCAAAGGUGUCUGAGCUACACAGGACUGGAAAUCUAACCAGUGUCUCAGAAUUCUUCCUCCUGGGCCUCUCAGAUGAUCCAGAACUGCAGCCUUUGCUCUGGGUCCUGUUCCUGGCCAUGUACCUGGUCACCAUGCUGGGGAACCUGCUCAUCAUCUUGGUUGUCACUUCUGACCCCCACCUCCAUAACCCCAUGUACUUCUUCCUCUCCAACCUCUCCUUGGCUGACAUCGGUUUUGUCUCCACCACGGUCCCCAAGAUGAUUGUGAACAUCCAGACUCACAGCAGAGUCAUCUCCUAUGCAGGCUGCCUGACACAGAUGUCUAUUUUUAUCCUUUUUGGAUGUAUGGAUUGUCUGCUUCUGUCUGUGAUGGCCUAUGACAGGUUUGUGGCCAUCUGUCACCCACUACACUACACGGUUAUCAUGAACCCUCGCCUCUGCUGCUCCUUAGUUUUGGUGUCUUUUUUUCUUAGCCUUUUGGACUCCCAGGUGCACAAUCUGAUUGUGCUACAACUUACCUACUUUGAGAAUGUUGACAUUUCUAAUUUCUUCUGUGAGCCUUCUCAGCUCCUCAAGCUUGCCUGUUCUGAUCCUUUCACCAAUAACAUAGUCACGUAUUUUGAUGGUGCCAUUUUUGCUUUUCUACCUUUCUUGGGAAUCUUUUUCUCUUACUACAAAAUUCUUUCCUCCAUUCUGAGAAUCACAUCAGGUAGGAGGUAUAAAGCCUUCUCCACCUGUGGUUCUCAUCUGGCAGUUGUUUGUUUAUUUUAUGGAACCGGCCUUGGUGUGUACCUCAACUCAACCAUCUCAGAAUCUCCCAGGAAGGGUGCAUUGGCCUCAGUGAUGUAUACUGUGGUCACCCCCAUGCUGAACCCCUUCAUCUACAGUCUGAGGAACAGACACAUCAAAAGGACCAUGUGGAGGUUUUCCAGCAAAAUGUUCUAGUCUCAUUAUCUGUGUCACCCAUUUGGAGUGUAGGUUGGAAAAUGUAGCAACAUUUACAUCUGAAAAUUCUACCUCUCUCAUGACAUCAUUUUUAUAGCUCUUGGGGCCUUCUUGUCUCUCCUUGUUUUACACCUGAAUAUUACUUCUUUUGAUAUG